AACUCACAGCAAUGGAUAUCUUGGCUCUCGCUUUGAUGAAGAAUGUAGCGAAAUGUGAUACUUAGUGUGAAUUGCAUGAUCCCAUAAACCAUCGAAUCUUUGAAUGCAAGUUGCACCCGCAACUUUCUGGCUGAGGACACGUCUGCCUGAUCGUAA